UGAGUGGCGACGGGUGAGUAACGCGUGGGCAACCUGGCCUGUACAGGGGGAUAACACUUAGAAAUAGGUGCUAAUACCGCAUAACGGGGGAAGCCGCAUGGCUUUCCCCUGAAAACUCCGGUGGUACAGGAUGGGCCCGCGUCUGAUUAGCCAGUUGGCAGGGUAACGGCCUACCAAAGCGACGAUCAGUAGCCGGCCUGAGAGGGCGGACGGCCACACUGGGACUGAGACACGGCCCAGACUCCUACGGGAGGCAGCAG
rnacentral:rRNA from 1 species